AUACGUAGGUGGCAAGCGUUGUCCGGAAUUACUGGGCGUAAAGGGUGCGUAGGCGGUUAUUUAAGUCAGAUGUGAAAUUCCGGGGCUCAACUUCGGAAUUGCAUUUGAAACUGGAGAGCUAGAGUGCAGGAGAGGAAAGCGGAAUUCCUAGUGUAGCGGUGAAAUGCGUAGAUAUUAGGAGGAACACCGGUGGCGAAGGCGGCUACCUGGACCGAUACUGACGCUGAGACGCGAAAGCGUGGGGAGC
rnacentral:rRNA from 1 species